rnacentral:rRNA from 1 species
AAUCAACGCUGGCGGCGUGCCUCAGACAUGCAAGUCGAACGCGAUUUAUUCUUUCGGGAAUAGAUUGAGUGGCGCACGGGUGAGUAACACGUAGGUAAUCUACCUUUGGGUGGGGAAUAACAGCCGGAAACGGCUGCUAAUACCGCAUAAAGCAGCGGCAUCACAUGAUGACAGUUGUUAAAGCGGGGGAGUCUGAAAGGAACCUCGCGCCAGAAGAGGAGCCUGCGGCAGAUUAGCUAGUUGGUGAGGUAACGGCUCACCAAGGCGACGAUCUGUAGCCGGCCUGAGAGGGCGGUCGGCCACACUGACACUGACAUACGGGUCAGACUCCUACGGGAGGCAGCAGUCGGG